rnacentral:lncRNA from 1 species
UCGGCUGUGGCUUGUGAAGUCAUAAUGGGAACGCUUCAAACCCCCACGUGAAGGCCCCAGCUGGAACCAACAGCCAAUUUUUGCCACAUAAAAAGACCAACCAACUUUAUGGAGACAGAUUUAAUUUCCUCUGGUUGUGGCUAUACUUUUGUAAUUUUAUUUCUGGCUUUUUUUUUUUUUUUCAUGUUUCAGAGGACAUUAUUUGCUCCAACAUAUUAAUGACAAUAGAGAAGACAGAAGGGAUAGAUGGCAGCCACAUUACCCAUUUUCCUAUGAUUAAAAACACCAAAACUCUCAGUGAUGUUCACACAGGUAGUUUUCACUUAGAAAGAGGCCUGGCAGCAUGCUUGCCCAGCACAAGCCUACUUAAAUCCCCUCUCUUUCAAUGGUGAGGUCAGAGCAUCUUGUCAAGAAGUGUAACUUAUGUUCAAAUAAUGCAUGUGAGCUGGACGUCUACUGCCAAAAACAAGCUGCCUGGGGCUAGAAACAAGAAAAGCAUCAUAAGUGCUAUUGAACAACUCACUGUAGACUUUUAAUUAUCUGAGAUUUACAUAAGCAACUCUACAAAAUGGGAGAUAUACCCAAUUAAAUGACAGUAAAUUUACUUUGCUGCAGAAUUCAAUAAUUUACAUCUUGGUUUCCCUUCAUUGCAUUAAUUACCUAUUUGGUAACAGAUUAAAAAAGCAUCUGGAUAAAAUUUA